UGGGGAAUUUUGGACAAUGGGCGCAAGCCUGAUCCAGCAAUGCCGCGUGCAGGAUGAAGGCCUUCGGGUUGUAAACUGCUCUUGUACGGAACGAAACGGCUCUGGUUAAUACCUGGGGCUAAUGACGGUACCGUAAGAAUAAGCACCGGCUAACUACGUGCCAGCAGCCGCGGUAAUACGUAGGGUGCGAGCGUUAAUCGGAAUUACUGGGCGUAAAGCGUGCGCAGGCGGUGAUGUAAGACAGAUGUGAAAUCCCCGGGCUCAACCUGGGACCUGCAUUUGUGACUGCAUCGCUGGAGUGCGGCAGAGGGGGAUGGAAUUCCGCGUGUAGCAGUGAAAUGCGUAGAUAUGCGGAGGAACACCGAUGGCGAAGGCAAUCCCCUGGGCCUGCACUGACGCUCAUGCACGAAAGCGUGGGGAGCAAACA
rnacentral:rRNA from 1 species